rnacentral:rRNA from 1 species
GGAGGGGUGCAAGCGUUGUUCGGAAUUAUUGGGCGUAAAGAGCGUGUAGGCGGGUCCGGUAAGUCAGAUGUGAAAGCCCUGGGGCUCAACCCAGGAAGUGCAUUUGAAACUACCAGACUUGAGUACGGGAGAGGAGGGGGGGAAUUCCCGGUGUAGAGGUGAAAUUCGUAGAUAUCGGGAGGAAUACCAGUGGCGAAGGCGCCCCUCUGGACCGAUACUGACGCUGAGACGCGAAAGCGUGGGGAGCAAACAGGAUUAGAUACCCUGGUAGUCCACGCCGUAAACGAUGAGCACUAGGUGUAGCGGGUAUUGACCCCUGCUGUGCCGUAGCUAACGCAUUAAGUGCUCCGCCUGGGGACUACGGUCGCAAAGACUAA